rnacentral:rRNA from 1 species
ACCCGCACAAGCGGUGGAUGAUGUGGCUUAAUUCGAUGCAACGCGAAAACCUUACCCACCUUUGACAUGUACGGAAUCCUUUAGAGAUAGAGGAGUGCUCGAAAGAGAACCGUAACACAGGUGCUGCAUGGCUGUCGUCAGCUCGUGUCAUGAGAUGUUGGGUUAAGUCCCGCAACGAGCGCAACCCUUGUCAUUAGUUGCUACAUUCAGUUGGGCACUCUAAUGAGACUGCCGGUGACAAACCGGAGGAAGGUGGGGAUGACGUCAAGUCCUCAUGGCCCUUAUAGGUGGGGCUACACACGUCAUACAAUGGAUGGUACAAAGGGUCGCCAACCCGCGAGGGGGAGCCAAUCCCAUAAAGCCAUUCGUAGUCCGGAUCGCAGUCUGCAACUCGACUGCGUGAAGUCGGAAUCGCUAGUAAUCGUGGAUCAGAAUGUCACGGUGAAUACGUUCCCGGGUCUU